GACGAACGCUGGCGGCAUGCCUAACACAUGCAAGUCUAGGGGUAGCAAUACCACUGGCGCACGGGUGAGUAACACGUAGGUUAUCUGCCCCCAUCACAGACAUAACCCCGGGAAACCGGGGCUAAUAUCUGAUGAGGUCGCGAGAUCAAAGCUUCGGCGGAUGGGGAUGAGCCUGCGGCUGAUUAGCUAGUUGGUGAGGUAAUGGCUCACCAAGGCGACGAUCAGUAGCUGGUCUGAGAGGACGAACAGCCACACUGGAACUGAGACACAGUCCAGACUCCUACGGGAGGCAGCAGUGAGGAAUAUUGGUCAAUGGGAGCAAUCCUGAACCAGCAAUGCCGCGUGUGGGAUGACAGGGCUUCGCCUUGUAAACCACUGUCGGACGGGACGAAAGGAGGCCUCGGGCCUCUGGGACGGUACCGUCAAAGGAAGGGUCGGCUAACUACGUGCCAGCAGCCGCGGUAAU
rnacentral:rRNA from 1 species